CAUCGUCAGCUCAUUUUGUAUAUGUAUGANGUUAUGAUGUGAGUUACUCUNUGUAGUAUUGCUCGCACGUACUUAUGCAUUUAUUUGCAAGGUGUUGUCGGCGUGCACUUCUCCCCUAGUAGGACGUCGCGACCCGUUGGGUAUCGGUCUACGACCCGAGUGGUAGACUUUAAUGUUUUNAUAAUAUUAAAGACCCUUGGUGUUUUCUGACCGGCUGCCCGGCGGUAUUCGUACGGUAUUUAGCCGCAUUUAUUUGNNCGUCCAUGUCCAUCGCAAGCGCGGCCAAUU
rnacentral:rRNA from 1 species